UACGUAGGGGGGCAAGCGUUGUCCGGAAUCAUUGGGCGUAAAGCGCGUGUAGGCGGUUCGAUAAGUCUGCUGUGAAAGUCCAGGGCUCAACCCUGGGAUGCCGGUGGAUACUGUCGGGCUAGAGUGCGGAAGAGGCGAGUGGAAUUCCUGGUGUAGCGGUGAAAUGCGCAGAUAUCAGGAGGAACACCAAUUACGAAGGCAGCUCGCUGGGACGUAACUGACGCUGAGACGCGAAAGCGUGGGGAGCAAACAGG
rnacentral:rRNA from 1 species